rnacentral:rRNA from 1 species
AGGUCUUGCCUGCCCAGUGACAAGUUAAACGGCCGCGGUAUUUUGACCGUGCGAAGGUAGCGCAAUCACUUGUCUUUUAAAUGAAGACCCGUAUGAAUGGCGGAACGAGGGCUUAACUGUCUCCCUUUUCAAGUCAAUGAAAUUGAUCUGCCCGUGCAGAAGCGGACAUAUAAAUACAAGACGAGAAGACCCUUUGGAGCUUAAGAUACAAGAUCAACUACGUCAAGGGCCCUUAAAUUUAAGCCAAACUAAGUAACAUCUGAUCUAUAUCUUCGGUUGGGGCGACCACGGGAGAAAACAAAGCUCCCAUGCGGACCGGGGUUAUAACCCUAAAACCAAGAAAGACAUUUCUAAGUCACAGAACAUCUGACCACAAAGAUCCGGUCUACCGGCCGAUCAGCGGACCAAGUUACCCUAGGGAUAACAGCGCAAUCCCCUUUCAGAGUCCAUAUCGACAAGGGGGUUUACGACCUCGAUGUUGGAUCAGGACAUCCUAAUGGUGCAGCCGCUAUUAAGGGUUCGUUUGUUCAACGAUUAAAGUCCUACGUG